UGAAUACGAGAUGCUACGGCGUCGAAGCAGUCUAUGUCAUACUUCCAAGAAAAGCUUGCACUGUCAUAAACAAAUAAUGCCUGUACCAUAACCGACACAGGUGGGUAGGUAGAGUAUACUAAGGGGCGCGAGAUAACUCUCUCUAAGGAACUCGGCAAAAUGACUCCGUAACUUCGGGAGAAGGAGUGCCUUAUUUUAUAAGGUUGCAAUAACAAGAUCCAAGCAACUGUUUACCAAAAACACAGGUCUCCGCUAAGUCGUAAGACGAUGUAUGGGGGCUGACGCCUGCCCAGUGCCAGAAGGUUAAAGAAGUUGGUUAGCAUCCGCGAAGCUGAUAACUGAAGCCCUGGUGAACGGCGGCCGUAACUAUAACGGUCCUAAGGUAGCGAAAUUCCUUGUCGGGUAAGUUCCGACCCGCACGAAAGGCGUAAUGAUUUGGAUACUGUCUCAGAGAGGGGCUCGGUGAAAUAGACUUGUCUGUGAAGAUGCGGACUACCUGCACCAGGACAGAAAGACCCUAUGAAGCUUUACUGUAACUUGAAAUUGAAAUUGGACUUUACUUGCGCAGUAUAGGUGGGAGGCGUUGAGAACAUUCUUGCGGGAAUGUUGGAGCCAUCAGUGAGAUACCACUCUUGUAAUGUUAGAUUUCUAACUUUGUAUCAUUAUCUGGUCAAAGGACAGUUUCAGGCGGGCAGUUUGACUGGGGCGGUCGCCUCCCAAACGGUAACGGAGGCGCACAAAGGUUUCCUCUGAACGGGUAGAAAUCGUAUCUAGAGUGUAAAGGCAUAAGGAAGCUUGACUGUGAGACCUACAAGUCGAGCAGGGACGAAAGUCGGUCUUAGUGAUCUGACGGUGCUGAGUGGAAAGGCCGUCACUCAACGGAUAAAAGUUACUCUAAGGAUAACAGGCUGAUCUCCCCCAAGAGUUCACAUCGACGGGGAGGUUUGGCACCUCGAUGUCGGCUCAUCGCAUCCUGGGGCGGUAGUACGUCCCAAGGGUUGGGCUGUUCGCCCAUAAAAGCGGUACGCGAGCUGGGUUCAGAACGUCGUGAGACAGUUCGGUCCAUAUCCGGUGUAGGCGUUAGAAUAUUGAGAGGAGCCUUCUUUAGUACGAGAGGACCGAGAAGGACAUACCUCUGGUGUACCAGUUAUCGUGCCAACGGUAAACGCUGGGUAGCUAUGUAUGGAGUGGAUAACCGCUGAAAGCAUCUAAGUGGGAAGCCCACCUCAAGAUAAG
rnacentral:rRNA from 1 species